UGGAUCACCAGGUGCCAACCGCUGUACUAGAUGAUGUUGACUGGGCAUGUAUUUCAGGGGGAAUUAAUUUUGUUAAUUCUGUUGAUUGUAAUGCUGAUGUUAAUAUGUUGUUUGCAGAGUGGUGGUGAUAUAAUAAUGGAAAUUGUGCCACCAUCAGUUGAAAGUAAUAAUUCAGAGAAAUCUGAGGUAUCAGAUGUUGAAUCUGUAGACCCUUCCAGUCUGGAAGAAGCACUUAGCACACUGGAAGUAACACAACAUUACAUAAGAUCAAAAAAACAUUAGUGAUGACAAGAUAUAUACAGUAGUUACGUAUGAAGAUACGUAACUACUAUACAGUCAUGAUCUAUGAUUGUAAUAUUACAUCCAAAAAACAAAUUACAAUUGAGUCUUUCUUUAUGCCAAAGUAACUAUUUGCUCAUCAUGGUUAAUUAAACUACUUAAU
rnacentral:lncRNA from 1 species